rnacentral:tRNA from 1 species
CGGUAGCUCAGUUGGAUAGAGUGUUUGGCUACGAACCAAAAGGUCGGGGGUUCGAAUCCCUUCCGGC